CCUCUUGAAUGUCAAAACGACUCUCGGCAACGGAUAUCUCGGCUCUCGCAUCGAUGAAGAACGUAGCGAAAUGCGAUACUUGGUGUGAAUUGCAGAAUCCCGUGAACCAUCGAGUCUUUGAACGCAAGUUGCGCCCGAAGCCUUCGGGCCGAGGGCACGCCUGCCUGGGCGUCACGCAU
rnacentral:rRNA from 1 species